UGCUGGAGGUAUCAGAAGUGCGAAUGCUGACAUAAGUAACGAUAAAGCGGGUGAAAAGCCCGCUCGCCGGAAGACCAAGGGUUCCUGUCCAACGUUAAUCGGGGCAGGGUGAGUCGACCCCUAAGGCGAGGCCGAAAGGCGUAGUCGAUGGGAAACGGGUUAAUAUUCCCGUACUUGGUGUUACUGCGAAGGGGGGACGGAGAAGGCUAUGUUGGCCGGGCGACGGUUGUCCCGGUUUAAGCGUGUAGGUGUGUGUUCCAGGUAAAUCCGGUUCACUUUAACACUGAGGCGUGAUGACGAGGCACUACGGUGCUGAAGCAACAAAUGCCCUGCUUCCAGGAAAAGCCUCUAAGCAUCAGGUAACAUCAAAUCGUACCCCAAACCGACACAGGUGGUCAGGUAGAGAAUACCAAGGCGCUUGAGAGAACUCGGGUGAAGGAACUAGGCAAAAUGGUGCCGUAACUUCGGGAGAAGGCACGCUGACACGUAGGUGAAGUGAUUUACUCACGGAGCUGAAGUCAGUCGAAGAUACCAGCUGGCUGCAACUGUUUAUUAAAAACACAGCACUGUGCAAACACGAAAGUGGACGUAUACGGUGUGACGCCUGCCCGGUGCCGGAAGGUUAAUUGAUGGGGUCAGCGNAAGCGAAGCUCCUGAUCGAAGCCCCGGUAAACGGCGGCCGUAACUAUAACGGUCCUAAGGUAGCGAAAUUCCUUGUCGGGUAAGUUCCGACCUGCACGAAUGGCGUAAUGAUGGCCAGGCUGUCUCCACCCGAGACUCAGUGAAAUUGAACUCGCUGUGAAGAUGCAGUGUACCCGCGGCAAGACGGAAAGACCCCGUGAACCUUUACUAUAGCUUGACACUGAACAUUGAGCCUUGAUGUGUAGGAUAGGUGGGAGGCUUUGAAGUGUGGACGCCAGUCUGCAUGGAGCCGACCUUGAAAUACCACCCUUUAAUGUUUGAUGUUCUAACGUGGACCCGUAAUCCGGGUUGCGGACAGUGUCUGGUGGGUAGUUUGACUGGGGCGGUCUCCUCCUAAAGAGUAACGGAGGAGCACGAAGGUUGGCUAAUCCUGGUCGGACAUCAGGAGGUUAGUGCAAUGGCAUAAGCCAGCUUGACUGCGAGCGUGACGGCGCGAGCAGGUGCGAAAGCAGGUCAUAGUGAUCCGGUGGUUCUGAAUGGAAGGGCCAUCGCUCAACGGAUAAAAGGUACUCCGGGGAUAACAGGCUGAUACCGCCCAAGAGUUCAUAUCGACGGCGGUGUUUGGCACCUCGAUGUCGGCUCAUCACAUCCUGGGGCUGAAGUAGGUCCCAAGGGUAUGGCUGUUCGCCAUUUAAAGUGGUACGCGAGCUGGGUUUAGAACGUCGUGAGACAGUUCGGUCCCUAUCUGCCGUGGGCGCUGGAGAACUGAGGGGGGCUGCUCCUAGUACGAGAGGACCGGAGUGGACGCAUCACUGGUGUUCGGGUUGUCAUGCCAAUGGCACUGCCCGGUAGCUAAAUGCGGAAGAGAUAAGUGCUGAAAGCAUCUAAGCACGAAACUUGCCCCGAGAUGAGUUCUCCCUGAGACUUUAGGUCUCCUGAAGGAACGUUGAAGACGACGACGUUGAUAGGCCGGGUGUGUAAGCGCAGCGAUGCGUUGAGCUAACCGGUACUAAUGAACCGUGAGGCUUAACCUUACAACGCCGAAG
rnacentral:rRNA from 1 species